AUUGGAACACACAUAUAAGACGAAAGCUCUUGAGUCGAGGUAUUGAUCCAACAACACAUAGAUCAAUCAAUGAUCCUACUACAAUACCAAAAGUUACAACGAUUACUUUUGCUGCUGCUCAUGAAAAUAUUAAAGAUAUUGAUCAACAAGAUGAGAUGAUAAAUAUCAAAGCUGAAUUCGUUGAAACAAGCAAAGAAUCAGAUAAUAAUGAAAUAAUUCAAGAAAAGUCAUCAUCAUGUCUUCCUGACUUAAAUCUUGAACUCAGAAUUAGUCCUCCACAUCAUCAACAACUCGAUCAUCAUCGUCAUCAUCAACGAUCAAGCUCUUUAUGUUUUACAUGUAGUUUGGGAAUUCAAAAUAGUAAAGAUUGCAGUUGUGGAAGUGAAAGUAAUGGAAAUGGAUGGAGUAAUAAUAUGGUAAGUAUGAACAUUAUGGCUGGUUAUGACUUUUUGGGCUUGAAGACUAAUGGUCUUUUGGACUAUAGAACUUUGGAAACUAAGUGAUUCGAUUCGAUUCGAAUUUAUGCAUAAAUCAUCUUAAUUUGAUGUAUAUGUAGAAAAGAAAAAGAGUUUGAGGAUAUUAUUUCUUCUAGCUAAUAAUUUUCUCAUGGUUGUAAACUUUGCAAUAUAGUA
rnacentral:misc_RNA from 1 species